rnacentral:rRNA from 1 species
UAGUGAGUUUGAUCCUGGCUCAGGGUGAACGCUGGCGGCAGGCUUAACGCAUGCAAGUCGAACGCAUCCUUCGGGGUGAGUGGCAGACGGGUGAGUAACGCGUGGGAACGUGCCCUUCAGUUUGGAAUAACCCAGGGAAACUUGGGCUAAUACCGGAUACGCCCGUAAGGGGAAAGAUUUAUCGCUGAAGGAUCGGCCCGCGUCUGAUUAGCUGGUUGGUAGGGUAAUGGCCUACCAAGGCGACGAUCAGUAGCUGGUCUGAGAGGAUGAUCAGCCACAUUGGGACUGAGACACGGCCCAGACUCCUACGGGAGGCAGCAGUGGGGAAUUUCCGCAAUGGGCGAAAGCCUGACGAGCAAUACCGCGUGA